CCUACGGGAGGCAGCAGUGGGGAAUAUUGGGCAAUGGGCGCAAGCCUGACCCAGCAACGCCGCGUGAAGGAAGAAGGCUUUCGGGUUGUAAACUUCUUUUCUCAGGGACGAAGAAAGUGACGGUACCUGAGGAAUAAGCCACGGCUAACUACGUGCCAGCAGCCGCGGUAAUACGUAGGUGGCAAGCGUUAUCCGGAUUUAUUGGGUGUAAAGGGCGUGUAGGCGGGAGCGCAAGUCAGAUGUGAAAACUCAGGGCUCAACCCUGAGCCUGCCUUUGAAACUGUAGUUCUUGAGUACUGGAGAGGCAGACGGAAUUCCUAGUGUAGCGGUGAAAUGCGUAGAUAUUAGGAGGAACACCAGUGGCGAAGGCGGUCUGCUGGACAGCAACUGACGCUGAGGCGCGAAAGCGUGGGGAGCAAACAGGAUUAGAUACCCCGGUAGUC
rnacentral:rRNA from 1 species